rnacentral:lncRNA from 1 species
CACAGGACUUAAUGGACCUAAAUUUCUGGAAGAAACAGGUAGAUAUUAGGAAAACGUUUUCCAACACAAAAAUACAGUAGAUGAGACUUUCUGGUCAGGAUCUGAGUCUCCGUGGCUGGUCUUUAAUAGCAGGUCAGGCAAAUAUUGAUCAGUUAUGACCCUGGCAAAACCACCGUGAUGCCAGAGCUGGCUGUGUGACUGCUGAAGGCAGCCUCGUCAGGGCCCUGGGAAGUGUGAGGGGGCUGCACGUGGGGCACCAACCCCAGGCAGCGCUACAGGCUUGGGGCAGAGUGGCUGGAAAGCUGUGCAGAGGAAAAGGAUCUGAGGGUGCUGACUGAUGCUCGCCUGAACACGAGCCAGCAGCGUGCCCAGGUGGCCAAGAAGGCCAGCGGCAUCCUGGCUUGUGUCAGGAAUGGUGCAGCCAGCAGGAGCAGGGAGGUGAUCGUCCCCCUGUGCUCUGCUCUGGUGAGGCCGCACCUCGAGCACUGUGUUCAGCUUUGGGCCCCUCACUACCAGAAGGACAUCAAGGCCCUGGAGUGUGUCCAGAGCAGGGCUAUGAAGCUGGAGGUGUUUAAAAGAUAUUGAAAUCAUGUCACUAAGCUCUGCAUCUAGGGGAGGGCUGGUUAGUGUUAGGUCAGAGGUUGGACUAGGUGAUCUGGGAGGUCUCUUCCAACCUAAAUGAUUCGGUGGAAGAUUAAGCGAUAUGAUUUUAUAGGCUAAAGAACCAUUGAAAAGAGAAAGAGGUGGGUAAGCUUUUCAAAUCAAUGCUGAACAAUUAAAGCGUUCUGAUUAUGGAUGGGUUUGCAUUGACCACUUGUCCCUUUUAUGUAUAUGUUCUCAUAGGGUUUUAGAAGCAUCAUCAUGUUUUGUGGUUUUUUUUUUUUUCCCCUCUUAGGAUCCCCUUCUCAGCCUAGGCAGAGAGUGCACUUGCCGAACUGGUGUUUGUUCACUGUUGGUUGUGCUUCUCAGAAUCAGUCCCUGUACGUUUUCUACUGCACACUGUCUGUAUCUUGCUCUGAAGGACUUUGCAGAUGUCUCUGAGCUCCAGGAGAUGAAAUGUGUUUUGUGUCCAGAGUGGUUGUGAAGUCAGUAACCUCCUGAGGAAGCUCCCCGAUAUUGGAACCAAGCAAAGUAGCAGGCUGCCUUCAGAGAUGAUGCGAGCAGGCUCUUUUUCUUUGGAGCAAUGACCAGGAAGGAUCGGAGUUGGUUUCUUGAGCAGCUGUGCUCUCAGAUGAACAGGUAUGUUCAUUUCUUGUUACAUAAAGCCAGUUUACAUGCUUUGCCAAAACAUAUCAGUGUACAGUGUAGAUAAAACAUAAAAAUAAAGAUAAAAAUUGCAUUUCUUGCA